GGCAGAUACUAAAAUCAACCAGAGUUUUCCUCAUCUGAGCAACACGGACAGCGAUGUGCAAUUGGACCUUUCUGCUUGCUGGAGGUUUUGAGUCCUGAAAGCUGUUAGCAGAGAGAAGCUACAGCUAUCCAGACCAGAAUAUUAAAAAUCCGUAAGAAGUAUCUACUGUGGAAGGACAGGAACAUGACAGCACGUUCUCACAAAGACUCGUGGCUAAGUGGUAAUGUAACCUGCAUUGAAGAAAGUACCAGUGCCUGCACACAGGGCCACAUGACAGCUUUGUACAGAGGCAACUACAUCUGACUUGUAUGAAGAAGAAAACCUUGCAGGAUCCACAUGGCUGGAAAGGGCAUCAGUAAUGUUUGACAUUGUUUAAGCUUCUGGAAGCACUGAUUUGAACUCUGCAGUGCCUCUGGGAUUUGUAUGAUACACAAGCUUAGUAACUGAAGCAACACACAGAACCCGGAAUCCCUACAGCAAGCCAUGAAGGCUUGAGAAAUCCAGCUUCCUGUAAUUUCACUACUCAUUCUUCAUGGUGACUUGAGGAUGCUUUGUGUUGCUCUUUCACUACCUGGUAAAAUGAAGAAUUAAAGUGAAAGGAAAUGGAGUGUGACAUCAGACCUGUGGCCAAGUCCUUAAUUUGUUUUCUUGCUAAUGCUGAACUCAAGGAAAUCAACUGGAUCCUUGCCUGAGUAAGUACUGGGCAGAAAUUAAGGAAGGGUUUGAAGACUGGGCCUUUGAUGGUUAGGCCAAUGCCUUCCGUGUAAGCCCAAGUUCUUAAAAGA